rnacentral:rRNA from 1 species
AUUGAACGCUGGCGGCAGGCCUAACACAUGCAAGUCGAACGCGUCGCGUACGUGUGAGUUAUUUCUGGGAAACUCCCUGAUGGCGGGUGAUAACUACUGGAAACCGUAGCUAAUCCCGCAUACCAUCGCUUGUGCCCCUAUGGGUUUAGCUAGUAGGUGGGGUAACGGCUCACCUAGGCGACGAUCCCUACCUUGUCUGAGAGGAGGACCAGCCACACUGGAACUGAGACACGGUCCAGACUCCUACGGGAGGCAGCAGGAGGGAAUCUUCCGCAAUGGGCGAAAGCCUGACGGAGCAACGCCGCGUGAGUGAUGAAGGUCUUCGGAUCGUAAAGUACUUUCAGCGGGGAGGCGGUAACCGAAGAAGAAGCACCGGCUAACUCCGUGCCAGCCGCCGCGGUAAUAG